CUUCUCUUCUGGGAUGCCUUGUCAAGCGCAGGCUGGGCCCAGCCAACAAAACACAGUUGCCCCUUCCUCUUCCCGGUCCUCACCAGGCGCUAUUGCUUCCUCAGUGCAGCGCUCUCACCUUACUGACAAGAUUCUGGUUCACAGCUUUCACACCUCCAUAGUGGGGAUAUGUGACUUCGUCCGCUUAGUAUUUGUAUCACGCUUGGCAGGACUUAGCCUUGGACGGAGACUAUAUAAGAGAUCGUUAGAGAAAAACAAGAGAAGUGAGCCGGGGAGCACCGUCACUGGGAUCCUGGUCUAGGAGUGGGGUGUUGUGAGGAGACGACGGUGGUGGGCAUCCUGCCUGCCCACCUUUCCUGGCAUCAUUACAUCUGUGACUUUGUAUUCAGGUGCGGCAUUGCAGCAGAAAGCUGAGAGAUCGCACUAUAAACUUGGAGCAGAGACAGCAGACAACAAGCUGGAAAUAAAGAUAGGCCGUUGCUAGAGAAUUUCAAGUUUGAAUUUCUGAAGAUGAACACAAUGAGAUAAGCACUUCCAGGGCUUUUCUCAUCGUUAGAACCAGUGACAAGAAUAUAAACAUCGAUGUCGGCUGACUCCCUGGCCUUUGGAUACCAGGCAAAAGUGAGAGACGAAGCAGGGGGCACCUUUUGACCAAACCUUGGCCUCCAGACCACCAUUAGGACUGAAUUCCAGAAACCGCUUAAACACGACUCACCGACCAAGCACUUGGAUGCUCCCUAAACACUUUCUGACCUUAUUUGACCUUACUGGAAAAUGGGUUCUCUGAGGGUAAUGCCCUGUGGAUGGAGCAAAAGACGUGCUCUGUCUCAGGGAACGUCCUUCCAGGCCGCAGGAAUUCUCCUUGCAGGGAACACAGUCUAUGUCUCUCUCUGAAUGCUCAGUCUCCCUGCCUGCCCUCUCCCGAGCUCUUUGGAGACCCACUUCAUGGAAAUCCUUAAUCAAUUCUCUCCAUAAAUAGGGCGUUAGUGACAGGCAUUCGACUCUAACCUGAAAGAGCUUUGCGACCAGCUAGUGGGAUCAGCGACAAGAGUCAUUCUCAAGGCAUUUGAAUACAGUGAAGGGUGGGGACACUACCAGAAAGAAUUACAGGGAGGGAGGGAAAAGACAACGUAUUUUCACCCUCUAUGUUGAGUACUUCCUACAGGAAAAAUCAUUUUUAAAAUACUCACCUGAACUCCUACACCAAGUUCCUGGUACUGGCCUGAGAAUCAUCGAGUUCCAAGACUGUCUUGUUGAUGGCUUACCCAGGCUUCCUUUCUCACCUCUGACCAGCCUCGCCUGUAGUCUGCUGGUCUCAACUUAUAGCUAUCAAGCCUGCAGGAGAAUGGGCGAGAAAUAGCGAUACUCUCGUGGUGUGAUUUUUAUUUUUAAAUAGGAAAGUGUCUUAUAAAUUACCCUUGUCUCUG